rnacentral:rRNA from 1 species
ACACAUGCAGUCGAACGGUGAUGACCAGCUUGCUGGUCGGAUCAGUGGCGAACGGGUGAGUAACACGUGAGUAACCUGCCCCAGACUCUGGGAUAAGCCUUGGAAACGAGGUCUAAUACUGGAUAUGAGAUGCCCCUGCAUGGGGAGUGUCUGGAAAGAUUUAUCGGUCUGGGAUGGACUCGCGGCCUAUCAGCUUGUUGGUGGGGUAAUGGCCUACCAAGGCGACGACGGGUAGCCGGCCUGAGAGGGCGACCGGCCACACUGGGACUGAGACACGGCCCAGACUCCUACGGGAGGCAGCAGUGGGGAAUAUUGCACAAUGGGCGCAAGCCUGAUGCAGCGACGCCGCGUGAGGGAUGAAGGCCUUCGGGUUGUAAACCUCUUUCAGCAGGGAAGAAGCGCAAGUGACGGUACCUGCAGAAGAAGCGCCGGCUAACUACGUGCCAGCAGCCGCGGUAAUACGUAGGGCGCAAGCGUUGUCCGGAAUUAUUGGGCGUAAAGAGCUCGUAGGCGGUUUGUCGCGUCUGGUGUGAAAACUCAAGGCUCAACCUUGAGCUUGCAUCGGGUACGGGCAGACUAGAGUGCGGUAGGGGUGACUGGAAUUCCUGGUGUAGCGGUGGAAUGCGCAGAUAUCAGGAGGAACACCGAUGGCGAAGGCAGGUCACUGGGCCGCAACUGACGCUGAGGAGCGAAAGCAUGGGG